ensembl:lincRNA
GGGAAGGCCUCGCUAGGCGCUUGGUGUUGUUGGGGGGGUGGAGUUGAGCAGCGGCGUGCGGUGGCGGCACACCGGGCACGCGAUGGCGCCGGGCGGGCAGAGCCAGGGCGGCGGGCGCGGCGGGCGCUCAGGCGCGGCGGCAGCGGCGGCGGCGGCGGCGGCGCGGAGCUGCAGCUGGCUCAGGCACUCCUGGCAGAAGGUGUGCAAGCACGCCAGCAGCUUGGGCGCGCGCCGGUCCGCGUCGAAGUAGUUGUAGCAGAUUUUGCACUCGUAGUCCUCAAGCGGAGGGAGGCCGGAGACCGUCUCCGCUGCGUCCCGGGCUCCUGCGUCUCCGCAGUCCGGGGCUCCCUUCGCGGCGACCCCAGCUCCCUCCCGGCUCCCGGGGCUGCUGCUUGGGCUCUGCUGGCUGCCGCCGCUGUCGCUCGCCGGCGCUGCCAUGGCAUGAUCCGCCCCUCAUCGGGGGCAAGAUUCUCUGCAGAAGACAGCAAGAUGCCCCCAGGGAAUGUUUGUGAAAAAGGAUGACUGGAUGGGAAGCAAGCUGAAGAAAAAGAGGGAAAGAAAGAGAGAAAUCAGUAAAUCACCACACAAGAGGUGGAGAAGAGGACUUAUAAAUAUUGUUUCUAUGACAUUUGAAAAUAAAUGUUUUACUCCAUGCUAAUAGUGAAUGUGGUGUCUUCAGUUUGAAGGGCUUUAAGUGAAGCUCAUUAAAACCCACUAUUUUCUAUUUCCUAGUUUUUAAUUUUGUAAUUAUUACUUGGGGUAAUAACAUUCUUUCAAUUUUUUAAGCAUUUCACUUAGUGAUGGGGUGGUGAUCAGAGAGGGUGGCUUGAGGGGACAUCCUGAGAAGGCCUUAGUCUGGCCUUGGAAUAUUACAAAGUGACACUAACCUAACUAUAGGAAGUGGCUUUCUGUCCUCUUUCCCUCAUUUAGUUGUAUGAUUGGGAAAAGCCUGAAAAUGCUCAUUUAUGCAGUGUUAAACUGGGUUCUUGUGCUUUAAGCCUUGAGUAGCUGUGUGCUGAGAAGAGACGUAAUGCUGAUGUAGGACAUAUUUAAAACAGAGUAUCUGGGAGAAGAGAAGCACAUGAACAGGAGGGCUAGUGUGGCCUCCAUACCAAGUGACUAAAAAUAGUUCUGAAGGUCUAUAUGUUUGAAUAUGGUGUGCAUAUGGGCAAAACUCUUAAGAUUUUGAAGCUUCACUUUAUUAUGCAUUCUCACCAUUGAAUGACAGACUUGAGGAACAGAGUAUAGGAUGACACUGGGGUUUCUCAAGCUCAGCAUAAUUGACAUUUGGAGCUGGAUAAGUCUUUGAUGUGGGGCUGUUCUGGGCACUGUUCAAUGUUUAGCAGCAUCUCUGGCCUCUACGCACUUGAUGUCAGUAACACCUCUCCCCAGUUGUGACAACCAAAAAUGUCUCUGGUUGAGGACCAUGGAGCUAACCACAAAGUCACAGAUUUGGUUAAAGUGAAACCAAAACCAGUAAUAUCUUACAGCUCCUAACUAGUGUAAGAUAGCAUUCUCAAAGAAUUUAAUGACUACAGGCAUUUCUUCCCUAGCUCAUGGUCAUUUAGAUAAUACUGAACUCUCUUUGAGAGGUCCAGUACAGCUUUUGUCAAUAACACAUCCUGUUGAUGGAGUCAUAAACAAUUGCGAGAAUUUGGUUAACCAUGGUAAAAUUUACUGUCUGAGUUUGGAUAGGUUUUUCAGAGGAGCCCAAAUCUUCAAUUAUUUUAUAUCCUAGAGUCAAUCAUUCAUUUUUAGGACUCAUAAAAAUGCCAUGUGGGGCUUCUGUAGGUACAGGGAGGAGGCGUGACAUUGCUAAAGAGUUUGUGUGACACAGGCCAUAG